GGUUUCCAGCUUCAUCCAUGUCCCAGCAAAGGACGUGAAUGAGAUUUCUUUUUCAAGAGCCUUUUAACUAUUAAUUCAAUUUUUUAGUAGUUACAGGACUUUUCAAAUUAUCUAUUUCAUAUUGGGUCAGUCACCACGAACAGGGGCACUCGGCAUGCUGCCCCAGCACUGGAGAAGCAGCGCUGUGGGGGCAAUCUGUCACACUCUCAGAGUCUGGGACUUGACUUGCUACCAACAACUGCUGUGCAAUUCUGCUGAGCAGGAAUAUCAUGAGCUGUUCAAUAAUGACGGACGCAUUGGUUGAGAUGAAGUUUCCAGUAAGGAAGUGACAGUGCAAUGUGGAUAUUUAUGGCUGUAAAAUAGGAAGAGCUUUAGUUCCCAGGCUGAACCUGCCACUGCUGGAGCCAUUUCAACAAGGCAUCCUCACAACAAAGAAGAGAUGUGAUUUGGUACCAUUUCACACCAGCAGGUGUCUGGACGAAAACAUCAAUGUGAAUAAGGGCCAAGUGCAGUCCUGUCUUGAUUAAAUUACUUAAUAAUAUUAUUAAAUAAUAAUAGGUCUGGGCAGUAUUGUUUUUAACCUGACUCAUCCAGCUGUCCUUCAAAUAGCUCCGUCUCCCUCUACCCAGAACUGAUUUUUAAAAAGAAGUAAUUUUUCUCCCUGGGCUGGGAAAACCCUAAUGAACUGAAACACACUUUUACUUUAAAAUUUUUCUGUCUGGCGUUUUUGUAAUCAUACUAUUAAAUGACUCUGGAGUCAUGUUAAUGACAGGAUUUGUUUUGUUUGGAUGCAGUUCAAUUGCAUGGUUUGGGUAAAAGCUAGCCUACAUACAAAGGAAUAUGAAGACUGUGGAAGAAACUGUAUAUUGGGUUUAAGAAUUUCAGCAAUUAUCCGGUAAAAGAAGAACUUAAGCAUUAAGCUGCAAUGUCAAAUCCACUUGCUUCAGUCUUACUAGCUGAUGUUGCCAACAGUUGGUGAUGCCUUUUUCAGGGUUCUACAUUCAAAGCCUGUUAAAGAUGGUUACAGGCAAGGAGGAGUCACAGGCAGAGGCUAAAGUAUAUCUAUCAUCUUUUAACCCUAAUGCACAUUUUAGAAAGUCUCAAAAAUCUGUUGCUGUGAUUUUUACAUCUUGUGUUUUUUGAGACAGAGUCUCGCUCUGUCACCCAGGCUGGAGUGCAGUGGCACGAUCUUGGCUCACUGCAACAACUUCCACUUCCUGGGUUCAAGUGAUUCUCCUGCCUCAGCCUCCUGAGUAGCUGCGACUACAGGUGCAUGCCACCAUGCCUGGCUAAUUUUUGUAUUUUUAGUAGAGACGGGGUUUCACCAUGUUGGCCUGGCUGGUCCUGAACUCUUGACCUCAGGUGAUCCACCCACCUUGGCCUUGGCCUCCCAAAAUGCUGGGAUUACAGGUGUGAGCCACUGUGCCCAGCCCUAUUUUAAAACUGAAUUUCUUCAAGCAUCUAAAUCAGAGGCUGGCAGAAACUUUUUCUGUUAAGGCCCAGAUAGUAAAUAGCUGUUUACUUUUUAUGGGCCAUAUGAUCUCUGUUGCAACGCCUCAGCUUUGUCAUUGUAGCAGGAAAGCAGCCACAGACAGUAAGCAAAUGAAUGAGCCUAGUCAUG
rnacentral:lncRNA from 1 species